rnacentral:rRNA from 1 species
GACGAACGCUGGCGGCGUGCUUAACACAUGCAAGUCGAACGGCAAGGCCCUGCUUUUGUGGGGUGCUCGAGUGGCGAACGGGUGCGUAACACGUGAGUAACCUGCCCUUGACUUUGGGAUAACUUCAGGAAACUGGGGCUAAUACCGGAUAGGAGCUCCUGCUGCAUGGUGGGGGUUGGAAAGUUUCGGCGGUUGGGGAUGGACUCGCGGCUUAUCAGCUUGUUGGUGGGGUAGUGGCUUACCAAGGCUUUGACGGGUAGCCGGCCUGGGAGGGUGAACGGCCACAUUGGGACUGAGAUACGGCCCAGACUCGUACGGGAGACAGCAGUGGGGAAUAUGGUACAAUGGGCGGAAGCCUGAUGCAGCAACGCCGCGUGCGGGAUGACGGCCUGCGGGUUGUGAACCGCUUUCGCCUGUGACGAAGCUGGAGUGACGGUAAUGGGUAAAGAAGCACCGGCUAACUACGUG